UAGAUAAAAGUUCGCUGGAUUGAACGCUUAGCUGUUAAUUAAGAUGUUGCAGGAUCAAGACCUGUUUAUCUAG
rnacentral:tRNA from 1 species